AGUAGUUGGGAUUACAGGCACGCACCACCCAGCCCGGCUAAUUUUUUUGUAUUUUUAGUAGAGAUGGGAUUUCGCCAUGGUCUUGAACUCCUGAUCUCAGGUGAUCCCUCUGCCUCGGCCUCCCAAGUGCUGGGAUUACAGGCGUGAGCCACCGUACCCGGCCUUGAACCAAGGUUUCUAAGAUGCUCUUAGCCUCCUUGGAUCUGGCCUAGCACACCUUUCCAUCUUAUCUUUUCUGCACAACCGCCCACAGCUAGCCCAGCCUACGCCUCAGCCAGUCUGGCUCCCUGACGAUGCAGAGCCGGCACCGGCUGCAGAAGCCAGGCCCAGUCCUGUCCAGGGCCCCCUGGCCGCAGACAAACGCUACAGACACGGCUGGUAGCACAUGGUUCUCUUUAUUGUGAUGCUCAGUGGAAAACAUCCGUAAACCAGCUUACUGUAGUGGUGACAGCCGCAACACAUGCUAAGGCACUUUUAUUAUAUAAAAAAGGGGUGGGGUGAGAGUUUCACUCACUCCUUUGUGACAGCAACUGGGACCUGAAUUCAGAGCUUUGUAGGCAUUACGCAGCUUUUAUAUCGCUUCGUGAUUUAAGAGUUUGUUUCCUUUAAAAAAAAAAAAAAAAUGCCUUCUUUGCCGUAAGUCUCAAUGCAGCAUAUACAAAACAGUUAGGAAUACAAGUAAAUUCGGCAACCAGUGUAGACCAGUGAGGACGAGCUAACUCUCUUAUAAACAAAGGCAGUGAGAAAGACUCGGAAUUUUAUCAUUUAUUAC